rnacentral:rRNA from 1 species
AAACUAAGUUUCCAACGUCUAGCACACAUCGUUUACGGCAUGAACUACGAGGGUAUCUAAUCCUCUUCGCUACCCAUGCUUUCGUUCCUCAGUGUCAGUAAUGAUCCAGAAAGUUGCCUUCGCUUUUGAUGUUCUUUCUAAUAUCUACGAAUUUCACCUCUACACUAGAAAUUCCACUUUCCUCUAUCAUACUCUAGCUAAAAAGUUUUGAUGGCAGUUCCAAGGUUGAGCCUUGGGAUUUCACCAUCAACUUUUUUAACCACCUACGAACUCUUUAAGCCCAGUAAUUCCGAACUACGCUAGGUCCCUUCGUAUUACCGCGGCUGCUGGCACGAAGUUAGCCGGACCUUCUUAUUCGGGUACAGUCAUUUUCUUCCCCGACGAAAGAGUUUUACAACCCAAAGGCCUUCUUCACUCACGCGGCAUCGCUGCAUCAGGGUUUCCCCCAUUGUGCAAGAUUCCCCACUGCUGCCUCCCGUAGGAGUUUGGGCCGUGUCUCAGUCCCAAUGUGGCUGGUCUUCCUCUAAGAACAGCUAUUGAUCGUUGCCUUGGUAAGCUCUUACCUUACCAACUAGCUAAUCAAGGGCGGGCUCAUCUUUGGGCAUUAAAACUUUCCCUGGGAAGGCUUAUCCGGUAUUAGCAUAAGUUUCCUCGUGUUAUUCCAGACCAAAAGGCAGAUUCCCACAUUAUACUCACCCGUUUGCCACUCAGUAUUGCUACUGCGUUGGACUUGCAUGUGUUAGGCGUGCCGCCAGCGUACGUUCUGAGCCAGGAUCAAACUCU